UACAAUAAUAGUAGGCGCCGGUACGUGAUUCAUUGUUUGACAACUUCUCAUUGUUCUCUGCUCAGUUAAUUUUAUGUGACAAACCGAUAUUGUGUUCUUUGAAAAAUUGUGAAAAAUAUUGGAAAAAUUUUAAUUUAAAACCAUCAUAUCAAUCACGUGUAUUGUGGAAAUUAUUUUUCAAAUUCAUUUGUCUUCAGCCAGCAACAAGUGUAUUGUGAUAGUGGCACUUUAUGAGCGGGAAAUUUUCUCACUUUGAUUAAUUACAAAAACAAGCAAUGCCAAGAAAACGCAAAGGGGUUGAUAUGAGCCGCAGUACAAGCAGAGCUCGAAGGUUGCAAAAUAGCAGAUCCGAAAGAACAGAAGAACAAAUCCAGCUACAAAAUACUGAUGCACGUGUCAGAAUGACGCGAUUGCAUCAAGAAGAGCCAGAAGAUACACGAGAUGAACGCAAUGAAGUCAGAAGAUUAGAACAACGACAAUCACGCCGUUUCACAGUCAAUAGACGAAGAACAAAUAACCAACAACGACAACAGGUACAUCGAGCAUUUAUAUCUGAUUCAUUCCUGCGUCUAGCAUUCCAGUAUGAGCCCGAUAUUGAAUAUUAUGCUCAUUCAAAAGUGGUAAUUGGUGCUAUGGACAAGGAAUGUCCGCGUUGUCAUGCUCUGAAAUUCAAAAAUGAGCCAGCUGGGAUGUGUUGCGCGUCAGGAAAAGUGCAACUACCUGAAAUUGAAACACCACCUGAACCAUUGAACGGCUUACUUAACGGCACGGAUCCAGAUUCUAACGUGUUCCUGAAGUCAAUUCUAAGAUUCAAUUCAUGCUUUCAAAUGACAUCGUUCGGAGCAACAGAAAUAGUUCGAAAUACUAAUGCAAAUGGUCAACAAUUCAAUUCUACAUUCAAAAUCAGAGGCCAAGUUUAUCAUAAAAUGGGCUCACUGCUGCCAAUGCCAAACGAACCACAUAAAUUCUUACAAAUUUACUUUAUGGGCGGCGAGGAUUCCGGAAGCGCACUUGCCAAUCGCGUGAAUGCACGUUGUAAUUAUAAUAACCUUGAUUCACUUUAUGCCAGGCGCAUCGUCAGCGAGCUAGAUGCUCUUUUGAACGAGCACAACGAGUUGUUGAAAAUAUUCAAAUCACAUAUGCACCAAUUACAAAGCGAUAAUCACGCUAUCGUCAUUAAUCCUGAUAAAACACCAGCUGGAGAGCAUAUUCGUAGAUUCAAUGCACCCGUUGUUGAUGAUGUUGCUGGAAUCAUGGUUGGCGAUUCUACAGCUGCACGAGAAAUUGUGAUUCGUAGAAGAAAUAAUAAUCUUCAGUUCAUUUCUGACACACAUCGUUCAUAUGACGCUCUCCAAUAUCCGCUAAUAUUCUGGAAGGGACAAGACGGAUAUUGCAUAAACGUAAAACAACGAGAUACCGUAUCAGAUACUUCAUUGAUUAUUAAUUUGAUCAUUAAUCAUUUAACAAAACAAUUAAAUUAUUGAACGUAAUAAAUUUAAAUUAUUUUUUAUGAACAAAUUUUACAGGAGCUGAAACAAACAAGAACGUUAGCUCAAAGGAUUAUUAUGCGUACCGAUUAAUGAUUAGACGUGGCCUGGACAACGUCAUUUUACGAUGUCGUGAGCUUUGUCAACAAUUCAUGGUCGACAUGUACGCGAAGAUUGAGAGCGAACGACUACGAUACUUACGAUAUAAUCAACAAAAGCUGCGCGCGGAAGAGUACAUUCAUUUGCGAGACGCUAUCAACAACAACGCCGACGUCGCCGAAAUUGGUAACCAUGUCAUUUUACCAUCAUCGCACGUAGGCAGUCCACGUCAUAUGCAAGAAUAUAUACAGGAGGCUCUGACUUUCGUGCGCGAAUAUGGACGACCAUGUUUAUUUAUCACGUUCACAUGUAAUCCAAAAUGGCCAGAGAUUACAUCUUUGCUACUGCCUGGCCAAAAUGCAAUACAUCGCCAUGACAUUACAGCACGUGUGUUCAAACAAAAGUUGAAGUCUUUAAUAAGUUUCAUUACUAAAUCACAUGUAUUUGGUCCCACACGUUGCUGGAUGUAUUCGGUUGAGUGGCAAAAGCGAGGAUUACCUCAUGCACACAUUUUGGUUUGGUUCAUCGACAAAAUCCGUCCUGAAGAAAUCGAUAGCAUCAUUUCUGCGGAAAUUCCAGAUCCAUCCACUGACCAACUGCUGUUUGAUAUUGUUACAACAAACAUGAUUCAUGGUCCAUGUGGUACUCUUAAUAGCUCAUCGCCUUGCAUGGCUGAUGGAAAAUGUACUAAAAAUUUCCCUAAAGAUUUUACCAAUGAUACGGUCACAAAUGUCGACGGAUACCCAAUAUAUCGUCGAAGAUAUCCUGAAAAUGGCGGACAAUCAUUUAUUAAAAAUAUCAUCAACACAGACAUUGAUAUUGACAAUCGUUGGGUGGUGCCAUAUUCGCCUCUGCUGAGCAAGACAUAUAAUGCUCAUAUUAAUGUUGAGUUCUGCAGUUCUGUGAAGAGCAUCAAAUACAUUUGCAAUGAAUAAAAACGAUGAAAUAACGCUCUACCAAAUUGGUCGGUACAUUUGGGUACAAACGUUUUCACAAAAGAAGAUUCUGAACGCAACAAAAAAAACAACAGCUGGCAGUGCGAAGUCUGCCGGGUAAGCUAGUGAU